rnacentral:rRNA from 1 species
ACUCAAAGGAAUAGACGGGGGCCCGCACAAGCGGUGGAGCAUGUGGUUUAAUUCGAUGCUACGCGAAAAACCUUACCAACCUUUGACAUCUGGGUCGCGAGGAGCAGAGAUGCACCUCUUCAGUUCGGCUGGACCCAAGACAGGUGUUGCAUGGCUGUCGUCAGCUCGUGUCGUGAGAUGUUGGGUUAAGUCCCGCAACGAGCGCAACCCUCAUCCUUAGUUACCAGCACGUUAUGGUGGGCACUCUAAGGAAACUGCCGGUGAUAAGCCGGAGGAAGGUGGGGACGACGUCAAGUCAUCAUGGCCCUUACAGGUUGGGCUACACACGUGCUACAAUGGCAGUGACAAUGGGAAGCUAGGCCGCGAGGUCAUGCAAAUCUCAAAAAGCUGUCUCAGUUCAGAUUGUACCCUGCAACUCGGGUGCAUGAAGUCGGAAUCGCUAGUAAUCGUGGAUCAGCAUGCCACGGUGAAUACGUUCCCGGGCCUUGUACACACCGCCCGU